UGGGGAAUAUUGCGCAAUGGGCGGAAGCCUGACGCAGCAACGCCGCGUGCGGGAUGACGGCCUUCGGGUUGUAAACCGCUUUCAGCAGGGACGAAGCUUUUGUGACGGUACCUGCAGAAGAAGCACCGGCCAACUACGUGCCAGCAGCCGCGGUGGUACGUAGGGUGCAAGCGUUGUCCGGAAUUAUUGGGCGUAAAGAGCUUGUAGGCGGUUUGUCGCGUCGAAAGUGAAAACUCGGGCCUUAAUCCUGAGCUUGCUUUCGAUACGGGCUGGCUAGAGGAAUGUAGGGGAGAAUGGAAUUCCUGGUGGAGCGGUGGAAUGCGCAGAUAUCAGGAGGAACACCAGUGGCGAAGGCGGUUCUCUGGACAUUUCCUGACGCUGAGAAGCGAAAGCGUGGGGAGCAAACA
rnacentral:rRNA from 1 species